rnacentral:rRNA from 1 species
CUGGCUCAGGAUGAACGCUAGCUACAGGCUUAACACAUGCAAGUCGAGCGGAACUGCUUCGGCAGUUAGCGGCAGACGGGUGAGUAACACGUAUCCAACCUUCCCCUUACUCGGGUAUAGCCUCGGGAAACUGAGAGUAAUCCCCGAUGUGGUGUACGCUUCGCAUGUAAUGCACACCAAAGAUUAAUCGGUAAGGGAUGGGGAUGCGUUCCAUUAGCUAGUAGGCGGGGUAACGGCCCACCUAGGCGAUGAUGGAUAGGGGUUCUGAGAGGAAGGUCCCCCACAUUGGAACUGCGACACGGUCCAAACUCCUACGGGAGGCAGCAGUGAGGAAUAUUGGUCAAUGGCCGAGAGGCUGAACCAGCCAAGUAGCGUGCAGGAAUGACGGCCCUACGGGUUGUAAACUGCUUUUGUGCGGGAAUAACGGUCGACACGUGUGUUGAUGUGCAUGUACCGUACGAAUAAGGAUCGGCUAACUCCGUGCCAGCCGCAGC